UUCUCAUCAGUCGUAAGCUUUUUGUUCUCACUCGGAUUCCAUUUCCAGACAGCAAGGACGGACGGAAGGAAGGAGAGAGGGAGACAUUACCAACCGACAACAGCUUAUUAACUACGACAGAGCUUUCCCCAGGAGAAGCCCACCUUGUAACGAAUCGAAAACCUUGACAAGAGUCGAGAAAUACGUUCUUAACAGUUUUUCAAGAGUUUGUAUUCAAAAACAAACACAAAAUGGAGCCCGAAAGCAAAUACUUGCCAGAGCUGCUGGCGGAGAAAGAUAGCUUGGACUCGUCUUUUACUCACGCGAUGAAACUCAUAUCUGCAGAAAUUGACAGGAUUCAAAAAGGGGAGCCAAAGAAAGAGGAAGAAGACUCCUAUCUGGACCUUUUUGCACACAAGAACCUCAAACUGAAAGAGAGGGUCCUUAUUCCAGUAAAACUAUACCCAAAGUUUAACUUUGUGGGAAAAAUCCUGGGACCCCAAGGAAACACAAUCAAGAGACUUCAGGAAGAAACUGGAGCAAAGAUUUCAGUUCUUGGGAAAGGAUCAAUGAGGGACAAAGCAAAGGAGGAAGGUCUACGAAAAGGUGGUGAACCGAAAUACGCCCAUUUGAGCAUGGAGUUGCAUGUAUUUCUUGAAGUUUUUGCUCCAGCACCUGAAGCCUAUUCACGCAUGGCCCAUGCGAUGGAGGAAGUGAAGAAGUUCUUAAUUCCUCAGGAAAUGAUGGACGAUAUCUGCCAGGAGCAGUUCAUGGAGAUGAGCUACCUGAAUGGAGGACAGGAGCCUGGCUCCCGAGGGAGAGGAGGGCCCCCUGGGAGGGGUCGUGGAGCUCCACCCCUACAAGCAGCUGGUGGCAGGGGACGUGGCAUGCCACCGCGUGGAGGUGCCCCGCGAGGUGGUCCGCCCAGGGGUGGCUCUGUUAGAGGAGGGCCCUCUGGUCGUGGGGGACCCCCAGCCCAAUCCCCCAGGGGAGGGGCCCCAGCAUCCCGGGCUAGGCCUCCUGCUCCAGGUGUGCAGAGAAUGUCUGCCCCUCACCCACCUGCUCCAGAGCCCUACGAAGAAUAUGCAUAUGAAGAUAGCUAUGCGGAACCAAGUUAUGAGACCUAUGAGAAUUAUUACACCCAACCCCAGGCGGAUACAGAGUAUUAUGACUACGGGCACGGGGAGGCCCAGGAUGCUUACGAACCAUAUGGUCAGGAUGACUGGAAUGGAACAAGAGCAUCCAUGAAGGCGCCCCCAACCAGGCCAGUGAAGGGUGCUUACAGAGAGCACCCCUAUGGUCGAUACUGAAAGAGGAAAUUUAAAGAGCAGCAAUUUGAAUAAGAGCAUUGCUCACUGAUUUCUUCUGUCUCCUGUGGCCACUGUCGCUUUACCUACAGACAAAAGAAGUAAAAUAACUGUACAGAACUAACCUGAAAGCUGGGAUUCCUCCCUCAGACAGGAUUUCUGAGCCUAAAAAAAAGACAUCCUGUGAAAUCCCAGCCAAGGAAGAAAGGUGGAUUGAACCUGAAAACAGAUCUUGGGUACUAGACUGUCCUGGAUGUGAAAAUCGAGGAUAUGCACAUGGCAGGAGUGAAGCAAAGAUUUUUUUUUUUUUUAAUUAUUUAUUUAAGUGAUUACAGAAAUGCCAGAUAUUACAUUUAGAGGAAUUUGUUACGAUUGUUUCUCAAAGGUAUGAAAGCUGCUUAUUGCAAGAUUUGGGCAGACUAAAGCCAUCUGGAUAGAUUAGAAAGGCUGGGCUAUUAAACCACAACUCUGUUUUUUAAAGUAGGUUUACCCAUGGUGCAGCCCUGUGUCCAAGGUUUAAAUUUGGACUUUUUUUGUGUUUUUGUGGCAGUAUUUCUUGAGUGUCUGCUAAGAAAUAAUAAAAUUAAUCAAUCGUGUUGUAUAUUUGGCAGCCCAAACAAUGCAUUUUGAAUAAUUAAGGGCUGAUCCUUAAACUAGCCUAUUAAAGUGACUGCUGUAGUGAGUCCUUAGUGGGUUAAUGUUUUCAUGACCAUUAAAUGAUUUACAGUCUGCUUGCUGUUAUUGUUGUGAAGCAGGAAUGAUCUGCAUUUUCACACCAAGAUGUUUUUUGCACAGUAUCUGUGCUUGGGUGGUGUUUGUGCUGCAUCAGCACUGAACUGCCACAGUGAUGAACAAUACAUAAUCCAUUGUUUGGGCUGUAAUUGUUUUGGAGAACAUGGCAUCUACAUAUCCAUGGUUGUUGUGUUGAUGAGUCUUUUGAAUCUUAACCUGCCAUAAUAAACGAGAGCUGCUCAUUGCUUCAGAUUUAAUGAGCAUUAGCUGCCACAGAAGCUACAUUUAAACAAUUGGAAGGUUGCUUCAAAGGGUAAUAAGUGUAAAUGUAAUGAAACAUUUGAUAAAUCCCAAAAGCAGUGAACAGAAUUCCAUUAACAUCUAGAACAAGUUUCCUUCAUCCCAGUUAAUGCAAAUGUAAUAUGGGACUUCACUGCAUGAGGGGAUAUGCUGAAAUGUAUUAAAAGCAGACUGCACUAAACCUUGCUGUUGUGCAAUGCAAAUUGAGACAAAUUGGAGGCCAGAAGCACUUGUCAUGGUACAUGUGGUUGCUGAACUGCCCUAAAUGCGAUAAUGUAAGGGUUUCAUUGACCUUUUGGCUUUUUACAAGAGAUUCAGUCUGCAACAGUAAGCAUUUUAACAUCAGUGUGUGUGAUAUAUGGGGUGGGGUGCUGAUUCACUUGUAUGUACUGUAAUAUGAUAACUUUGUUUUUUUUUUAUUCUAAAUAAAUUCUAUAUCAAAUCCA